UAAUGAGUAAAUUUAAUUAUGUAGCACAAUUUAUGCCAGAAGCUGUUACACAUUUUCUUUUUUUUUCACUGUCAAGUGAUCUUCUAGGAGGUGUACUAUUCGAGAUGUACAUUUAUACUGUAUAUGCAAAUAUGCUGAAGAGAAAGACUAAUAUAAGUCAAAGUAUGAUUAUGAUACAAAAGACAUGUUUUUCUUGGAAUAAAUAAACAGACAGACAAAAACAAUAAGGAGCUCACAGAUUAGAGACAAAUUUAACAGAGUUCAUAUGAGUCCCUAAAGCUUGCCACUGGAUAUAUCUGUGUUUUAUUUUUAUUUUUGAUCAGUUAUAUUUUAGAGAAAUCUAGAUAUAUAUUUUUUAGUAUCAAGAAAAAUGAUUGAUAGAGGAAAGAAAAUUUUAUAUAAAAUUAAGUUAUAUUAACACAAAUUAUUAAUAAAACCAAAUU
rnacentral:lncRNA from 1 species